rnacentral:rRNA from 1 species
AUUGAACGCUGGCGGCAGGCCUAACACAUGCAAGUCGAACGAGUGGCGGACGGGUGAGUAAUGUCUGGGAAACUGCCUGAUGGAGGGGGAUAACUACUGGAAACGGUAGCUACUACCGCAUACCAUCGGAUGUGCCCAGAUGGGAUUAGCUAGUAGGUGGGGUAACGGCUCACCUAGGCGACGAUCCCUAGCUGGUCUGAGAGGAUGACCAGCCACACUUGAACUGAGUCACAGGCCAGUCGCCUACGGGAGGAAGCAGUGGGGAAUAUUGCACAAUGGGCGCAAGCCUGAUGCAGCCAUGCCGCGUGUAUGAAGAAGGCCUUCGGGUUGUAAAGUACUUUCAGCAGGGAGGCGUUACCCGCAGAGGAAGCACCGGCUAACUCCGUGCCAGCAGCCGCGAUAAUAC